rnacentral:lncRNA from 1 species
ACAGACACACAGUGUGUGAACGGGGGUUAAACAGACACACAGUGUGUGAACGGGGGUUAAACAGACACACAGUGUGUGAACGGGGGUUAAACAGACACACAGUGUGUGAACGGGGGUUAAACAGACAUACAGUAUGUACGCUAUGUGAAGUAGCACUCAAUAUCUGUAGAAUAUACAGCGGAGCGAAGGUAUGAGUCAGUCAAAAUGAUGAAAAAGGACAGAGUGGGACGG